rnacentral:rRNA from 1 species
UCGGGCUGGGGUGCGAAGCGGGGCUGGGCUCGAGCCGCGGCUGGGGGAGCAGUCGUCCCGUCGCCCUUGGUCUCUCCGCCGCUGGAUUCGCGGUCGAGGCCCGUCCUCUCCGGGGGCUCUCGUGCCGUGGCGCUUCGGUGUCGCGGUGCGGGGUUUUCGGUCGGGGGUGGUGUCCGAGGCCGUGCGGAAGGCGGGCCGGAGGAGGUUGGAUACGGCGGUCGGCGGCGGCGACUCUGGACGCGCGCCGGGCCCUUCUCGCGGAUCUCCCCAGCUACGGCGCCGUUGGGGUCCCGUUCGCGCGGGCUUCCGGCGGGUCGCCCUGUGGCGCCUAGCAGCUGACUUA